AGAGUUUGAUCCUGGCUCAGGAUGAACGCUAGCGGCAGGCUUAACACAUGUAAGUCGAGGGGCAGCACAGGUAGCAAUACCGGGUGGCGACCGGCAAACGGGUGCGUAACACGUACACAACUUACCCUUAAGUGGGGGAUAGCCCAUAGAAAUGUGGAUUAAUACCCCGUAAUACAUUGGAUAGCAUUAUCCGAUGUUGAAAGCUCCGGUGCUUAGGGAUGGGUGUGCGGCCUAUUAGGUAGUUGGUGAGGUAACGGCUCACCAAGCCGACGAUAGGUAGCUGAUGUGAGAGCAUGAUCAGCCACACGGGCACUGAGACACGGGCCCGACUCCUACGGGAGGCAGCAGUGAGGAAUAUUGGUCAAUGGACGCAAGUCUGAACCAGCCAUGCCGCGUGGAGGAUGAAGGCCCUCUGGGUUGUAAACUUCUUUUAUCUGGGGAGAAACCACCUUUUUCUAAGGGUGUUGACGGUACCAGAGGAAUAAGCACCGGCUAACUCCGUGCCAGCAGCCGCGGUAAU
rnacentral:rRNA from 1 species